rnacentral:rRNA from 1 species
AGUGAACGCUGGCGGUAGGCCUAACACAUGCAAGUCGAACGGCAGCACAGUAAGAGCUUGCUCUUACGGGUGGCGAGUGGCGGACGGGUGAGGAAUACAUCGGAAUCUACUUUUUCGUGGGGGAUAACGUAGGGAAACCUACGCCAAUACCGCAUACGACCUACGGGUGAAAGCAGGGGAUCUUCGGACCUUGCGCGAUUGAAUGCGCCGAUGUCGGAUUAGCUAGUUGGCGGGGUAAAGGCCCACCAAGGCGACGAUCCGUAGCUGGUCUGAGAGGAUGGUCGGCCACACUGGAACUGAGACACGGUCCAGACUCCUACGGGAGGCAGCAGUGGGGAAUGUUGGACAAUGGGCGCAAGCCUUAUCCAGCCAUACCGCGUGGGUGAAGAAGGCCUUCGGUUUGUAAAGCCCUUUUGUUGGGAAAGAAAAGCAGCAGGUUAAGACCCCGCUGUUCUGACGGUACCCAAAGAAUAAGCACCGGCUAACUUCGUG